AACGAACGCUGGCGGCGUGCCUAACACAUGCAAGUCGAACGGAAUUAGAGAGCUUGCUCUUUGAUUUAGUGGCGCACGGGUGAGUAACGCGUAGAUAAUCUGCCUGACGUUCUGGGAUAACACUUCGAAAGAGGUGCUAAUACCGGAUAAGCCCACGGGUUCUUUGGAAUCUGCGGGAAAAGGGGGGGACCUUCGGGCCUUCUGUCGUCAGAUGAGUCUGCGUACCAUUAGCUAGUUGGUAGGGUAAAGGCCUACCAAGGCGACGAUGGUUAGCUGGUCUGAGAGGAUGUGCAGCCACACUGGAACUGAGACACGGGCCAGACUCCUACGGGAGGCAGCAGUGGGGAAUUUUGCGCAAUGGGCGAAAGCCUGACGCAGCAACGCGGCGUGAGUGAUGAAGGCUUUCGGGUCGUAAAGCUCUGUCAAUGGGAAAGAAGUGUAUUUUGGCUAAUAUCCUUAAUACUUGACGGUACCCAUAAAGGAAGCACCGGCUAACUCCGUGCCAGCCGCCGCAGUAAAAC
rnacentral:rRNA from 1 species